UACGUAGGUGGCAAGCGUUGUCCGGAUUUACUGGGCGCAAAGGGUGCGUAGGCGGACAUUUAAGUCAGAUGUGAAAUCCCCGAGCUUAACUUGGGUGCUGCAUUUGAAACUGGGUGUCUAGAGUGCAGGAGAGGUAAGUGGAAUUCCUAGUGUAGCGGUGAAAUGCGUAGAGAUUAGGAAGAACACCAGUGGCGAAGGCGACUUACUGGACUGUAACUGACGCUGAGGCAUGAAAGCGUGGGGAGCAAACAGG
rnacentral:rRNA from 1 species